CCUGCUCUCCGCUGGCAAGUGGACAUCCUUCGAGAGCUCCCGGGCUGCCAGAGGGAUGUCUGACUGCCAGCUUAGGCCCAAUGCCCCAGGUAGCAGGCCUAAGCCAGCAGGUAGUCAUCCCUCGAGGGGUCCCAGACUGUGAGAGGGCACAGGCCAGGCUGAGGGAACCCCCCCCACCCCCCGAGUGCACAAAUUGUUGUGCACCAGGCCUCUAGGAAUAUAAUAAUGGCAAAUCAUUACAUAGCAUUGCCUAUGUGUCAGGAAUUGUUCUAAAGGUAUUACAUAAAAUAUCUCAUUUGAUUCUUACAAAAAUCCAAUGAGAUAAGUGUUAUUACUUUUAUUUUACUCAUGAGAAAACUGAGGCAAAGUCUGGGUUAAUGACCUUGUGAGUAGCAGAAGUUGAAUUAGGAGACUUUGACUGUCUGUGAACUCCAUGCCCUUAACCAUGAUGCUACAUAGAGAUAACCACAGAGACUUCCUGAUUUCUUUCAGGACCUGAUUUGUAAGACCACUGCUCUAACCAUUGGGCACAAGAGUAAGUGAGACUCAGCGAGGUGGAGUCACUUGCGUAGGGUCAUCCUGCCCCAGGUGUACAGCAGGGAUUCCAGCUCAGGUUGUUCUGGCUUCAAGGCCAGUGGUUUUUCCACUCUCUAUAGCUGCCUCCUUCAGCCGUUCGGCAGAUGAACAGGGUAAAUAAACAUGGCUGGGCCUUGGGGAUUUUAUAUCUUAAUUGGGAGACAUAACUAAUGUACCAAGGGCAACAGGAAAAAUCACAGACAGGGCUGAGAGGUAUGUUUGGGCUUCAAAGGAAGAGAAGGACCCUGAUGGCUAGAGAAGUCCAGAGGGCCUCUUGGAGGAGGCAGAAGGUGGCUGGGCUUCAGUGAUAGGCAGGAAUGGGAUGGCUGGGUGGGGAAGGGGUGAGGUGAGGAGGGCAUGACAGGGAAGGAUGAGGAGCAGGGCCACCCAGUGGUGCAGAGCAGGAGUUGAUGUCACCACAGGGAAGCUGCACCUUCACGCAGUAGGUAAUUGCUCCGUAUCUAGUAUCUUCUUUUU